GAGUGAUCGAAAGAUGAAAAGUACUUUGGAAAGAGAGUCAAAAAGCACGUGAAAUUGUUGAAAGGGAAGCGCUUGCAGCCAGACUUGCCCGCAGUUGCUCACCUAGGCUUUUGCCUGGGGCACUCUUCUGCGGGCAGGCCAGCAUCAGUUUGGGCGGUCGGAUAAAGGUCUCUUUCAUGUAUCAUCCUUCGGGAUGACCUUAUAGAGGAGGCGUAAUGCGACCAGCCCGGACUGAGGUCCGCGCAUCUGCUAGGAUGCUGGCGUAAUGGCUGUAAGCGGCCC
rnacentral:rRNA from 1 species